GCCAGGCCACUCCACCUCCCGGGAGUUACUGCUUGGCCGGCAGGGGGCGCGCCGUCAUCUGGUUCCAGCCUGCAAGGCGUACAGAACUGAAGCAUAAACAGGAUUGAACUUCCAAAGAACAGAUUUCUGAGCUUAUUAUUGGCAUCGUGAACCCAGACAUUUUAGUAUUGACCUUUCUCCCUUCAGAUUUACACUGCGGCACUGUACAGAGGCAGAGGAGGAGUGUUUGCUGGUGUGGCAAGCUUUACUGUUUGGCAGCACAGGAAAAAGCUUUCCUGGAAUCAGGUCUAACCAAGAAACUCAAAGGAAUGAAGUUCUGGUAGCCACAGCAGGGCAGCUGAAGGAUCCUGGUAUCUGCGCGUCGUUCUUACUGGCGAGACGUUGGGCGCGCGAUAUUUGGUGCCGAAACCUGGGACAAACACCUCGCCAUCGCCGGCGCCGAGGAGAGCCUUCGCUCGCGGAGAGGGUCCAGAACUGCAGGUCGAAAGGAUGCUACAGGAGUGUGCCAGCUGCCUGAGUGGUUGGUGAGACCUGCUGAUCCUGGGAGCAUGAAGAUUCAUUCAGCUCUCCUGGUUUGGGUCCCUGGAGUCAUUCCUGUGCCCUUAGAUGAGGAUUCCCCCUCAUCUUUUGUCAUCACAGAGAUUUUGGCGUUGCUGCAGUCAGUGUUACCACUGCGUGUGUCCCGCCCCACCGCGGCCUACGCUCCAACCCUCUGUGCACUGCUGCUUGCUAGAGAAGACUGGACUCCAGCUGUUACCCCUGCCCCCCUCAUUCCCCUGGUGACUCUUGCUGCCUUAACUGGUGUUGUCAUUUUGCAGUCUGUAGCUUCACAGGAAUGCCACCUGCGUGAAGCUGCUGUGGACUGGGGAACUGUGCCCUGGUUGUGCAGAUCUCAGACAUGGUUGCAUUGCCUGCUGGUUGUUCCAGAGAAGAAUGACUGAUCCUGAACUGUCCUGGGAAAGACCUUGGCAUUUUCGCUGCUAUUGUAGCAGCCAUUACUGCUGCAGCCAUUGUGUCUGCAGUGUCUGGAGUUACCCUCCCCCAAUCUAUUGUUAGGCAAGCACAGUGGGUGAACUUUCUGGAGUAGUUGCUAACAAUUGGGAAUUCUAAAUUUUAUUAUAGGAGCGGCUUGACUACGGCCCUUGGUGGUAACAGCUGAGGAGAACCAGAUGAGGUGCCCACUACUUAUUGGGAG
ensembl:lncRNA